AGAGUUUGAUCCUGGCUCAGGAUGAACGCUGGCGGCGUGCCUAACACAUGCAAGUCGAGCGAUUCUCUUCGGAGAAGAGCGGCGGACGGGUGAGUAACGCGUGGGUAACCUGCCCUGUACACACGGAUAACAUACCGAAAGGUAUGCUAAUACGGGAUAACAUAUUUUAAUGGCAUCAUCGAAAUAUCAAAGCUCCGGCGGUACAGGAUGGACCCGCGUCUGAUUAGCUAGUUGGUGAGGUAAUGGCUCACCAAGGCGACGAUCAGUAGCCGACCUGAGAGGGUGAUCGGCCACAUUGGAACUGAGACACGGUCCAAACUCCUACGGGAGGCAGCAGUGGGGAAUAUUGCACAAUGGGCGAAAGCCUGAUGCAGCAACGCCGCGUGAGCGAUGAAGGCCUUCGGGUCGUAAAGCUCUGUCCUCAAGGAAGAUAAUGACGGUACUUGAGGAGGAAGCCCCGGCUAACUACGUGCCAGCAGCCGCGGUAAUACGUAGGGGGCUAGCGUUAUCCGGAAUUACUGGGCGUAAAGGGUGCGUAGGUGGUUUUUUAAGUCAGAAGUGAAAGGCUACGGCUCAACCGUAGUAAGCUUUUGGAACUGAGAAACUUGAGUGCAGGAGAGGAGAGUAGAAUUCCUAGUGUAGCGGUGAAAUGCGUAGAUAUUAGGAGGAAUACCAGUUGCGAAGGCGGCUCUCUGGACUGUAACUGACACUGAGGCACGAAAGCGUGGGAAGCAAACAGGAUUAGAUACCCUGGUAGUCCACGCCGUAAACGAUGAGUACUAGUGUCGGGGGUUACCCCCCUCGGUGCCGCAGCUAACGCAUUAAGUACUCGCCUGGGAAGUACGCUCGCAGAGUGAAACUCAAGGAAUGAC
rnacentral:rRNA from 1 species